rnacentral:lncRNA from 1 species
GCCGGGUGUGGUGGCACACACCUAUAAUCCCAGCUACUCGGGAGGCUGAGACAGGAGAAUUGCUUGAACCUGGGAGGCGGAGGUUGCAGUGAGCCGAGAUCGCACCACUGCCCUCCAGCCUGGGUGACAGAGAAGAGACUCCGUCUCAAAAAAAAGAAAAAAAAAUAGAUAAAAUUAAGUUGGGUUUUCUUUUUUGAGAUGGAGUCUCACUCUGUCGCCCAGGCUGGAAUGCAGUGGUGUGUUCUUGGCUCACUGCAACCUCCACCUCCCGGGUUCGAGCAAUUCU